UCCCUCUCCCAGCCUCAGAGGCUCCCCGCGCGCAGAGCCGGAGAGCGCGACGGCCGGGCCGGGCCAGGUCGCCGUCGCCCUCCCCGCGACUCCCAGUAGCCUCUCGCUCCCGCCUCGCCGCCACUGGCGCCGCAGCCGCAGCGCCUCCCGUCCAUAAGUAGCAGCAGGAGCGGCAGAGGCAGAUGGCGCCUUCUGCCAUCGCGUUCGCGUCUUGCGCGCACCAUUACUGCUUCUCCGCUGGCUCCGGCGUUCGAUUGAUCCGGUGACGCCCGCCCAUUUGCCAAGAAACCGAGCCGGUGGGCGUGGCGUGGCGGGGAUGCAGGCCAUGGCGGCGGCCACCUCUUCCUCCGCCUCUGGAGCCUGGGCGGCGGCGGCGGCGGCCUCCUCCUCUCCUUCCCUCCUCGCCUCCCGGUGGCGGCAUGUCGCCUUGCCGUCUUCUUCUUCGUCGUCUCUCUCUCGAUGCCCGGUCGCCGGCGCCGGCGCGCCGGCGCUGCCGCUCGGCAUUCGCGGGGGGCGCAUGCUGCUCCCCUCCCCACUUCUUCUCGGGAAGAGCGGCGCCGCGGCGAGGAAGACGGUGGCCACGGCCGCGGCGGCCUCGCCGCCUGCGGACGGCGGCCGCAAGGCGGACGGCGCCAUUUCGCGGACGCUGCAGCUCGGCGUCAUGAUCCUCGUCUGGUACCUGCUCAACAUCUACUUCAACAUCUUCAACAAGCUGGUUCUGAAAGCAGUGCCUUUCCCUUACACCAUCACCACCUUCCAAUUCGCCUCCGGUUCAUUCUUCAUCACCCUCAUGUGGCUGCUUAAUCUUCACCCCAAGCCAAGGCUCUCCCUUGGACAGUAUGCAAAGAUCCUGCCUUUGGCCUUGGUGCACACGAUGGGCAAUGUUUUCACUAACAUGAGCUUGGGCAAGGUCGCUGUUUCCUUCACACACACCAUCAAGGCCAUGGAGCCCUUCUUCUCGGUGCUUCUCUCCGUGUUGUUACUUGGGGAGACACCUUCUUUCUUGGUGUUAGGUUCCCUUGUGCCAAUCGUUGGUGGCGUCGUGCUAGCAUCGAUGACCGAGGUUUCUUUCAACUGGAUAGGAUUUUGGAGUGCCAUGGCUUCCAAUCUUACCAACCAAUCGCGAAAUGUUUUCAGCAAGAAGCUUCUUGCUGAUAAAGAGGAAACAUUGGAUGACAUAAAUCUCUUCUCGAUAAUGACUGUUAUGUCAUUUUUAUUAUCUGCCCCACUGAUGUUGUCUGUGGAAGGAAUAAAGUUUUCCCCAUCGUACCUGCAGAGCACCGGAGUUAAUCUACAAGAACUAUGUAUCAAAGCUGCUCUUGCUGGCACUUGUUUCCAUUUUUACCAACAGGUUUCAUAUAGUUUAUUGGCUAGAGUAUCACCUGUGACCCAUUCUGUUGCUAACUGUGUCAAACGAGUUGUGGUCAUUGUCUCAUCCGUUCUCUUCUUCAAAACUCCAAUUUCACCUAUUAAUGCACUUGGAACUGGUGUUGCUCUUGUUGGAGUUUUCCUGUACUCUAGGUUCAAAAAAGUAAAACCAAAGGCUAAGACUGCAUGAACUCAACGUACACCGCUGGAAUUUAACUACUAGAAGGUUCUGGUUUAUCUCUUCUUGAGCCAUACUAACCAAUCAACAGAAGAUGACUCCUUUGUGGAUGAGAAAUUCAGAAGAGAAUAAGAAGCAAAGAAGCUGAUGUCCUUGUCCCACUUCUUCAUGUUCCAGGAUUGGAGGUGGUCACUUCAAUGAUUGGUUCACCCAGAUAUUUGUUUAUAUAUUUUGAAACCAAACAAGAUGUUUAUUGUGAUAUAUAUUUUCAAUGAUUGGUCCACCCUCAAUUUCAAUGGUGGUACCAGUACUAUCUGGUAAAAAAAUUCUUUCUGGAUUGAAAAUUUUGCAGCAUAUUCAUGAUAUGACAGUGAUAUGCAGCAAACUGCAAGGACAUCAACCAAGCAAAUAAUCAAUCAAGUUCAAAUCCACAACGUGAAAACUAGUAGCAAAUAUUCAUCACCAUGUUUACUGCACUAAUGCAGCUCUUAUUGUCCA